UACGAAGGGGGCUAGCGUUGCUCGGAAUCACUGGGCGUAAAGCGCACGUAGGCGGAUUGCUAAGUCAGGGGUGAAAUCCUGGAGCUCAACUCCAGAACUGCCUUUGAUACUGGCAACCUUGAGACCGGAAGAGGUUAGUGGAACUGCGAGUGUAGAGGUGAAAUUCGUAGAUAUUCGCAAGAACACCAGUGGCGAAGGCGGCUGACUGGUCCGGUUCUGACGCUGAGGCGCGAAAGCGUGGGGAGCAAACAGG
rnacentral:rRNA from 1 species